UCGUUAUUUAUUUUUGUUUGCACCCUGCAUGUAAUUUCUUUACUUUGUAAAUGAGAGAAGAUAUUGGUUGUUGAGAAUGGUGUUUCAUUGAAUGAUUCCAUCUAGUUCCUUGAGGUGAAUGAAAACUGCUAGCAUAGAGAUGCUUGGGGGGUAUCUUAAUUUCUCUACACCAAAGUGUAUCAUAGAGUUGAUUCAGAUAUUAAAAGGUGAACUGGACAAACUCCUCCAGAGAAAGAUUAAGGAACCGGCAAUAGACAUCUUUUCAGAAGGGAAAGGGGUUGUGGCUGCUUCCAUAGAACUGUUCGAGAAUACAUUUUGCUUGCAUUGAAGCUGGAGUAGCAAUUUCUUCUUCACCCAUUUGUCUUUCCCUUGCCUACUAGUUGAAUGUAUCAUUUUGUUGUGUGAAUGUUGUGGAGCAGCAAAUAUUCUUGUCAAAAUUCUAUGAGGAAACAUCGCAGUACAACUGAGAUUUCGUAUUGCAUUUUAUUUUAUUUGGAAAUAAAAUGUACACCCUCCGUUUCAAAA